rnacentral:rRNA from 1 species
AUUGAACGCUGGCGGCAUGCUUUACACAUGCAAGUCGAACGGCAGCGCGGGCUUCGUCCUGGCGGCGAGUGGCGAACGGGUGAGUAAUUCAUCGGAACGUGCCCAGUAUUUGGGGAUAGCCCGGCGAAAGCCGGAUUAAUACCGCAUACGACCUGAGUUUGAAAGCGGGGGACCGAAAGGCCUCGCGCUAUUUGAGCGGCCGAUGUCGGAUUAGCUAGUUGGUGGGGUAAAGGCUUACCAAGGCGACGAUCCGUAGCUGGUCUGAGAGGACGACCAGCCACACUGGGACUGAGACACGGCCCAGACUCCUACGGGAGGCAGCAGUGGGGAAUUUUGGACAAUGGGGGCAACCCUGAUCCAGCCAUGCCGCGUGAGGGAAGAAGGCCUUCGGGUUGUAAAACGCUUUUGUUCGGGAAGAAAUCCUCUGGGCUAAUACCCCGGGGGGAUGACGGUACCGGAAGAAUAAGCACCGGCUAACUACGUG